rnacentral:rRNA from 1 species
UGGGAUGUUGAUGGUGAAACCCUGGGACCUUCGGGCCAGGGGCUAAAAGAGGAUCCUGCGUCUGAUUAGCUAGUUGGUGAGGUAACGGCCCACCAAGGCAUCGAUCAGUAGCCGGCCUGAGAGGGUGAUCGGCCACACUGGAACUGAGACACGGUCCAGACUCCUACGGGAGGCAGCAGUGGGGAAUUUUGCGCAAUGGGCGAAAGCCUGACGCAGCAACGCCGCGUGGGUGAUGAAGGUCUUCGGAUUGUAAAACCCUGUCGCCAGGGACGAAGGGUGGGGUGUUAAUAGCGCUUUACUUUGACGGUACCUGGAAAGGAAGCCCCGGCUAACUCUGUGCCAGCAGCCGC